rnacentral:lncRNA from 1 species
CUCACAGCACACAGCAGUCUUUGUAAUUUACACUGACAAAACCUUGGAGUGGAGACUCUGAUAGGAAAUUUAAGUGGAAAAAAAAAAAAAGAGAAAGAGGCACAGAUGAGACGUUUUAUUCUCAUUGACAUUGUCAGAAUUUUGUUUUCAAGAACCUUAAUUGUAAUUGGAGACUUGAAAUGUCAUAGGGGAUUCAUUUUGCAAGACGGAGAAGAGGGAAAAGAGUUUGGGAUUAUUACGAAUAAUGCUCUGGUAAACAUCUGCAUAAGUUUGAUUAGUGGAGACAUGCUUUUAUAUCUCUCGGGUAAUAGAAUCAUUGGGUCAUAUGGUAAGUUUAUUUUUGACUUUUUAAGAAACU